rnacentral:lncRNA from 1 species
UGGAAUUUUCCUGCGUCCAAGAAAACAAUCACAGAAUACUGGUUUAAAUACUUUGAUACCUGUGGCUAAUUCUGCUGUCUUGAUGCAGGCUAUUAGAGUUGGAUUAGAAGUCAGUAAUUAGUGCUUUAUGCCAUCACUGAACUGAAACACAGUGAUCCUCGCUGAAGAUGGAGGGCACUCUGUCAGCGUGUACUGUCAGCGUACAAGGUGUUCUGGUAUCUUUGUUUUCGCUUCUUGGCAUACUGCUGUUUAAAAGGCUCGACUUUUACUCUCUACACAGUUUUCACCUUUACUUUCCGAGUGUUUUCUGUAGUGGGCUACUGUAGAGAGUGUGCUGUUCUAUCAUUCCUAAACCUGGUCUGCUUCCUCCAGUCACUGGUCCAGAGACCAUGUGACUCUUUGUACAGUUUAUCCUGGUGUUCCCUGUAAUGCAGUAGAGGCUACUUUGCCUUCCCUCUUCUUUCUCAGCCAUUUUGUAAACCCCGUAAUUAUGAAGCGGUUGCUUGAGAAAAUAACAGAUAAACAUAGAAUAGACUGACCAAGAUGGUUUAGAGUUUGUUUUUUUUUUUAACUAGGUUAUUUAUAAUGUAUUUCUGAACCACUUGGCAGAGAAAUUUACAACACUUAAUGUUCAUAUUUUGAGUAAAGAAAG